GAACGCUGGCGGCAUGCCUAACACAUGCAAGUCGAACGGCAGCACAGCAGUAGCAAUACUGUGGGUGGCGAGUGGCGGACGGGUGAGGAAUACGUCGGAAUCUGCCCAGUCGUGGGGGAUAACUAGCCGAAAGGUUAGCUAAUACCGCAUACGACCGAGAGGUGAAAGCGGGGGACCGCAAGGCCUCGCGCGAUUGGAUGAGCCGACGUCGGAUUAGCUAGUUGCGGGGUAAAGGCCCACCAAGGCGACGAUCCGUAGCUGGUCUGAGAGGAUGAUCAGCCACACUGGAACUGAGACACGGUCCAGACUCCUACGGGAGGCAGCAGUGGGGAAUAUUGGACAAUGGGCGCAAGCCUGAUCCAGCAAUGCCGCGUGUGUGAAGAAGGCCUUCGGGUUGUAAAGCACUUUAUCAGGAACGAAAAGCGUUGGAUUAAUACUCUGACGUGCUGACGGUACCUGAGGAAUAAGCACCGGCUAACUUCGUG
rnacentral:rRNA from 1 species